rnacentral:rRNA from 1 species
UUUUAUGAGAGUUUGAUCCUGGCUCAGGACGAACGCUGGCGGCGUGCCUAAUACAUGCAAGUCGAACGCUUCUUUUUCCACCGGAGCUUGCUCCACCGGAAAAAGAAGAGUGGCGAACGGGUGAGUAACACGUGGGUAACCUGCCCAUCAGAAGGGGAUAACACUUGGAAACAGGUGCUAAUACCGUAUAACAAUCAAAACCGCAUGGUUUUGAUUUGAAAGGCGCUUUCGGGUGUCGCUGAUGGAUGGACCCGCGGUGCAUUAGCUAGUUGGUGAGGUAACGGCUCACCAAGGCCACGAUGCAUAGCCGACCUGAGAGGGUGAUCGGCCACAUUGGGACUGAGACACGGCCCAAACUCCUACGGGAGGCAGCAGUAGGGAAUCUUCGGCAAUGGACGAAAGUCUGAC